rnacentral:rRNA from 1 species
GACGAACGCUGGCGGCGUGCUUAACACAUGCAAGUCGAACGGAAAGGCCCUGCUUUUGUGGGGUGCUCGAGUGGCGAACGGGUGAGUAACACGUGAGUAACCUGCCCUUGAUUUUGGGAUAACUUCAGGAAACUGGGGCUAAUACCGGAUAGGAGCUCCUGCUGCAUGGUGGGGGUUGGAAAGUUUCGGCGGUUGGGGAUGGACUCGCGGCUUAUCAGCUUGUUGGUGGGGUAGUGGCUUACCAAGGCUUUGACGGGUAGCCGGCCUGAGAGGGUGACCGGCCACAUUGGGACUGAGAUACGGCGCAGACGCCUACGGUAGGCAACAGUGGGGAAUAUUACACAAUGGGCGGAAGCCGGAUGCAGCAACGCCGCGUGCGGGAUGACGGCCUUCGGGUUGUAAACCGCUUUCGCCUGUGACGAAGCGUGAGUGACGGUAAUGGGUAAAGAAGCACCGGCUAACUACGUG